AGCAUCUACUGAAAUUGCUCUGCAGGUACCCUGUGUCCCCAAGACUGCAGGCACCAAAGUACUUCCACACUGUCUUGGCGCCUUCCCAAAAUGCAGGUGUGGGAACAAGCCAGGGGAUUCAGGCUCCAAGGCUGGCAGUGUGCAGGAGCGCCCAUGACGCCCAUACCAACAAUGAUUGUAAAGUCUAUGCUUUGUAAUACUUCUCAUACAGCCUCAGCAUUAAAUAAACCUGCUCUAUUUUUGAGUGCUACUACUGUGAUUCUUGAGGGAUCUCUAAAAGGAAAUAGUUGUCCAGCGCUGCUGAAUGCCUGUUAUUAAGGAAAAAAGUAUUUAAAGAUUCAGAGAUACCCCUGCUUAAUCUGAGGAGUUCCCAGACCAUGGGUUGAAAAUUUCUGCAGUGUUCCCUCUGGACAUUUCUUCUUCAUUUUCUCCUUGGUUCUUCUGUUUCCUGCAUGACAAUCUGCCUCCUUGGUGUCCUAGGAUCUGUUCACCCCUCACCUUAUACUUCUCUUUUGACCCAUCUUGUAAAGCAGACUCCUGGUUGAGCAGGGAACAAGUAGCUACUAUAACUGGUGGAAUGAUGGUGAAAACACUGCUACAAAGAACAAAUGGACACUGCUAAAAAGAGAAAGGAAACAAACAAACAAAAAAAUGUGAAGGAGAAGAGAAAUGAUGCUGGAAGCUGGCAAAAGCUUUCCCCUCUGAAUCCUGGAGCAGGAGAAACGCUUGCUGGGUAAUGCAUCUAUCUAGUUACAUGUCAUACAUGACCACAGUAUUGAAGGGUUUAGCUGUCCUGGGAUUUAAACAUGUCACUACUGGGAUAAGCUGCACUCGUACAAAACAGAGUAGUGUAAACUCUUUUGCCAAUGGAAUGAGUGCCUUAGUGGUGAAGCUGUGGCAGAGAGGCGAUUUGAGAAUAUCAAGGUUUGCACAGUAGCAUGGGGAGGAGAGGGCGAUAGCUGGAUGGGCUGUGCGAGCCGCAGAGAGCUCAGUGAGGGGCGAAGAGAGCUGCAGAGCUGCUAAGCAGGGGAUUAUAGGGAAGCUGAAGGAAAAAAUGAGCCUACAUCAGUGUGGUGUAAAGAUAGAAUUAAAUUGAGUCACUGGAUCUCGUUCACAAUACACCAGCAGAGGAUAUUGGCUAGUACUAUGGAAAAGAGAGAUUUAGCAUUUGCACCUGGAGACUUCCUAAAAUGUAAGGAUCAGAGCAAGUCUUUACUAUAUUAUUAGGUAUAAACAGGCUCUGUCAAGCACUGGAAGACUCAGUGUGGUGCUCCACUUUGAGAAACAGGUCACAGCAGCUGGACAGUAGGUGGCACGGGCAGGGCUGCAUUGUUUUCUGAACCUGAGCUGGUGCAAGUGGGCUGCCUCCGCAGCUCCAGCUGGUCGGGACAUCCUCACAUGGCACUCCUCUGUGACGUACAGGCAUGGCAAGAAGCUGGAGGGGGCAACUAGACCUUGCCCUGCAAACUUUUGUUCAACUUUGUGUACUAACAUUAGACCUCAGAGGAAAUUGGCAAGCUUUUAUUUUUGACGGUGGCUUUUUUAGCUCUUCUCAGGGAUUUCAAUAAUUUUCAUUAUGAACUAUACCAGCCUCUUUCAUCUUAGGAAGAAAAGACUGCAAUCGGGGGUAUACAGCAGCUCUUCUUUUUUAGCUGCUGGAAAAUAAGUUAAUAAAUGCAGUCACAAUACAGGGUAUACCAUUCUCAUUCCUUAUUGAUACCAACUAUACUGUAACAAUGAAUUUCAAAGUGCUGCUGAUGUAAACUCUACCUGAAGCCUGUUUGAUCUCAGAUAAGCAUCUUCAUCCCAUUCUUCAUUUCAAGAAAAGAAAAUCUUACUGCACAGCAACAUAUUCAUCUGCUUUGGGUUCAGUUCAAGAUAAGCCAUGCUUUGCAGAAAACCUAAUUAAUAUCAAUCACAAGAAAA